rnacentral:rRNA from 1 species
AACGAACGCUGGCGGCAUGCCUAACACAUGCAAGUCGAACGAGACCUUCGGGUAUAGUGGCGCACGGGUGCGUAACGCGUGGGAACCUGCCCUUAGGUUCGGAAUAACUCCCCGAAAGGGGUGCUAAUACCGGAUAAUGUCUUCGGACCAAAGUUUUAUCGCCUUUGGAUGGGCCCGCGUUGGAUUAGCUAGUUGGUAGGGUAAAAGCCUACCAAGGCGACGAUCCAUAGCUGGUCUGAGAGGAUGAUCAGCCACACUGGGACUGAGACACGGCCCAGACUCCUACGGAAGGCAGCAGGGGUGAAUAUUGGACAAUGGGCGAAAGCCUGAGCCAGCAAGGCCGCGAAAGUGAUGAGGGCCUUAGGGUUGUAAAGCUCUUUUACCCGGGAUGAUAAUGACAGUACCUAGAGAAUAAGCUCCGGCUAACUCCGU